UUUUGCCAAGGAAGGUAACAUUUUUUGUUAUGACACUGUGUACAACCUGUGGGAAUGCAUUUUGUUUGUUAAUGUGUUCUGUAUAUUAAUAUUGUGUUUAUUUUGUCCUACAGCCUAAAAUUAUAUUUGAACCGAAAUACUUUUUGAACUACUACUUUUCGGGCGGUCUCAUAUACACAGCGAUGAAAAACUUUGACAGAGCAAUUACUUUUUUCGAAAUUGUUUUCAUGACAACAUUUCCUGUAAUUUCGCCAAUCACGAUUGAUUCCUAUAAGAAAUUCAUUUUACUUGUCCUCAUACACUUCGGAUCGGUACCAACAUACUGUAACGUUGAUCCCACAAUCCUCGAUGAAUUGUAUGGACCAACGUGUCAACCGUACUUAGAUUUGGUACCACUUUAUCAAAGUGGAAAUUUAACAGCAGUCCACGCGACAAUUGCUAAACACCAAGAUAUUUAUGUAAGGGAUAAAAAUUUUGGAUUGGUGAAACAACUUGUGAAAUCUUUGAACCAGGCCAACUUGCUACGACUGGCCAACUUGUUCUCGACCAUGACCCUUUUUUGUAUGAAUAAAUGUUUCAUUCUCGUGUGUCCUAUUGACAGUUAUUUGUUCUUAUAACUGUUUACAUGACACAACAAUUAUUGUGAAAAUUGCCAAUUUUAAUUUCAAGCUUCAAUAAUAGUUGAAGAACAUAAUGUUAUGUUCGUAUGUUUAA